rnacentral:tRNA from 1 species
UGGGGAGUGGUGUAAUCGGCAGCACAGGGCACUUUGGAUGCCCAAGUUCUGGUUCAAGUCCAGGCUCCCCAG